rnacentral:rRNA from 1 species
UGGGGAAUUUUGCACAAUGGGGGAAACCCUGAUGCAGCGACGCCGCGUGAUUUAGAAGGCCUUCGGGUUGUAAAAAUCUUUUCUAUGGGAAGAAAAUGACAGUACCAUAGGAAUAAGGACCGGCUAAUUACGUGCCAGCAGCCGCGGUAAUACGUAAGGUCCGAGCGUUGUCCGGAAUCAUUGGGCGUAAAGGGUACGUAGGCGGGUAAGCAAGUUAGAAGUGAAAUCCUGUAGCUCAACUACAGUAAGCUUUUAAAACUGCUCAUCUUGAGAUAUGGAAGGGAAAGUGGAAUUCCUAGUGUAGCGGUGAAAUGCGCAGAUAUUGGGAGGAACACCGGUGGCGAAAGCGGCUUUUUGGCCUGCAACUGACACUGAGGCGCGAAAGCGUGGGGAGCAAACAGG